AUGGCGCCGCCACCACCACUUGAUGAGGAUGAUGACUAUGAAGACCCACUUGAGGAAACCAUCUGUGCUCAAAGAGUGAGGCUGAGCGAACGGGAGGUGUGCAACCUAUGGGACAACUUUCUGCCACGUGCUGAGUUGAUCGGGGCGCCAUUCGUGACCCGUCUGACAAGUACCAUGAUCGAUCGACAUGUCAUGAAAUUGCCAAAGAGCCUAUCUGAGAGUUGUGGCAUCGAGGCUGAUGAAGAAGGCUAUGCUGGAAUACGCCUUACCGCAAGGGGCCCCGUCACUACUUGUGCGUACGGCGUGGAAACGGACGGUCGCACACAUUUAAGUACAUAUGGGUGGAAGAGCUUCCUCGUUGACAAGAAUCUUCAUGUUGGACAGGCCAUCCUUAUUACUAUCAGGAAGACCAACCGUCAAGGCUUGAAGAUGAUGAUCGUCAUCGAUACCAUCUAA
rnacentral:rRNA from 1 species